UUGAAGAGUUUGAUCAUGGCUCAGAUUGAACGCUGGCGGCAGGCCUAACACAUGCAAGUCGAACGGUAACAGGAAGAAGCUUGCUUCUUUGCUGACGAGUGGCGGACGGGUGAGUAAUGUCUGGGAAACUGCCUGAUGGAGGGGGAUAACUACUGGAAACGGUAGCUAAUACCGCAUAACGUCGCAAGACCAAAGAGGGGGACCUUCGGGCCUCUUGCCAUCGGAUGUGCCCAGAUGGGAUUAGCUAGUAGGUGGGGUAACGGCUCACCUAGGCGACGAUCCCUAGCUGGUCUGAGAGGAUGACCAGCCACACUGGAACUGAGACACGGUCCAGACUCCUACGGGAGGCAGCAGUGGGGAAUAUUGCACAAUGGGCGCAAGCCUGAUGCAGCCAUGCCGCGUGUAUGAAGAAGGCCUUCGGGUUGUAAAGUACUUUCAGCGGGGAGGAAGGAGUAAAGUUAAUACCUUUGCUCAUUGACGUUACCCGCAGAAGAAGCACCGGCUAACUCCGUGCCAGCAGCCGCGGUAAUACGGAGGGUGCAAGCGUUAAUCGGAAUUACUGGGCGUAAAGCGCACGCAGGCGGUUUGUUAAGUCAGAUGUGAAAUCCCGGGCUCAACCGGGAACUGCAUCUGAUACUGGCAAGCUUGAGUCUCGUAGAGGGGUAGAAUUCCGUGUAGCGGUGAAAUGCGUAGAGAUCUGGAGGAAUACCGGUGGCGAAGGCGGCCCCGGACGAAGACUGACGCUCAGGUGCGAAAGCGUGGGGAGCAAACAGGAUUAGAUACCCUGGUAGUCCACGCCGUAAACGAUGUCGACUUGGAGGUUGUGCCCUUGAGGCGUGGCUUCCGGAGCUAACGCGUUAAGUCGACCGCCUGGGGAGUACGGCCGCAAGGUUAAAACUCAAAUGAAUUGACGGGGGCCCGCACAAGCGGUGGAGCAUGUGGUUUAAUUCGAUGCAACGCGAAGAACCUUACCUGGUCUUGACAUCCACGGAAGUUUUCAGAGAUGAGAAUGUGCCUUCGGGAACCGUGAGACAGGUGCUGCAUGGCUGUCGUCAGCUCGUGUUGUGAAAUGUUGGGUUAAGUCCCGCAACGAGCGCAACCCUUAUCCUUUGUUGCCAGCGGUCCGGCCGGGAACUCAAAGGAGACUGCCAGUGAUAAACUGGAGGAAGGUGGGGAUGACGUCAAGUCAUCAUGGCCCUUACGACCAGGGCUACACACGUGCUACAAUGGCGCAUACAAAGAGAAGCGACCUCGCGAGAGCAAGCGGACCUCAUAAAGUGCGUCGUAGUCCGGAUUGGAGUCUGCAACUCGACUCCAUGAAGUCGGAAUCGCUAGUAAUCGUGGAUCAGAAUGCCACGGUGAAUACGUUCCCGGGCCUUGUACACACCGCCCGUCACACCAUGGGAGUGGGUUGCAAAAGAAGUAGGUAGCUUAACCUUCGGGAGGGCGCUUACCACUUUGUGAUUCAUGACUGGGGUGAAGUCGUAACAAGGUAACCGUAGGGGAACCUGCGGUUGGAUCACCUCCUU
rnacentral:rRNA from 1 species